rnacentral:rRNA from 1 species
UACGUAGGGUGCAAGCGUUGUCCGGAAUUAUUGGGCGUAAAGAGCUCGUAGGUGGCCUGUCGCGUCGGCUGUGAAAACUCGGGGCUCAACUCCGAGCUUGCAGUCGAUACGGGCAGGCUAGAGUUCGGCAGGGGAGACUGGAAUUCCUGGUGUAGCGGUGAAAUGCGCAGAUAUCAGGAGGAACACCGGUGGCGAAGGCGGGUCUCUGGGCCGGUACCGACGCUGAGGAGCGAAAGCGUGGGGAGCGAACAGG